CAGCAGCCGCGGUAAUACGUAGGUGGCAAGCGUUGUCCGGAAUUAUUGGGCGUAAAGGGCUCGCAGGCGGUUUCUUAAGUCUGAUGUGAAAGCCCCCGGCUCAACCGGGGAGGGUCAUUGGAAACUGGGAAACUCGAGUGCAGAAGAGGAGAGUGGAAUUCCACGUGUAGCGGUGAAAUGCGUAGAGAUGUGGAGGAACACCAGUGGCGAAGGCGACUCUCUGGUCUGUAACUGACGCUGAGGAGCGAAAGCGUGGGGAGCGAACAGGAUUAGAUACCCCGGUAGUCCCUGUCUCUUAUAC
rnacentral:rRNA from 1 species